GGGUGAUACAGGUCCUGAUGGCGUCACUGGAGACAAUGGGGAAAGAGGUACUCGUGGUCGACAGGGCUCGGAAGGGCGUAUGGGAUAUCCUGGGCUAAUCGGUAAAAACGGUGACGAUGGGUCUCCUGGUGAAGACGGCCUUCAGGGAACUUCUGGACCAAGUGGUGUCGCUGGUCUUCCUGGCAAGAAAGGAGAUACAGU